rnacentral:rRNA from 1 species
GACGAACGCUGGCGGCGUGCUUAACACAUGCAAGUCGAACGGAAAGGCCCUGCUUUUGUGGGGUGCUCGAGUGGCGAACGGGUGAGUAACACGUGAGUAACCUGCCCUUGACUUUGGGAUAACUUCAGGAAACUGGGGCUAAUACCGGAUAGGAUCUCCUGCUGCAUGGUGGGGGUUGGAAAGUUUCGGCGGUUGGGGAUGGACUCGCGGCUUAUCAGCUUGUUGGUGGGGUAGUGGCUUACCAAGGCUUUGACGGGUAGCCGGCCUGAGAGGGUGACCGGCCACAUUGGGCCUAAGGUACGGCCCAGACUCCUACGGGGGGCAGCAGUGGGGAGUAUUGCACAGUGGGCGGAAGCCUGAUGCAGCAACGCCGCGUGCGGGAUGACGGCCUUCGGGGUGUAAACCGCUUUCGCCUGUGACGAAGCGUGAGUGACGGUAAUGGGUAAAGAAGCACCGGCUAACUACGUG